GUAGGUGGCAAGCGUUGUCCGGAAUUAUUGGGCGUAAAGCGCGCACAGGCGGUUUUUUAAGUCUGAUGUGAAAGCCCACGGCUCAACCGUGGAGGGUCAUUGGAAACUGGAGAACUUGAGUACAGAAGAGGAAAGCGGAAUUCCACGUGUAGCGGUGAAAUGCGUAGAGAUGUGGAGGAACACCAGUGGCGAAGGCGGCUUUCUGGUCUGUAACUGACGCUGAGGCGCGAAAGCGUGGGGAGCAAACAGGGAUUAGAUACCCUGGUAGUCCACGCCGUAAACGAUGAGUGCUAAGUGUUAGGGGGUUUCCCGCCCCUUAGUGCUGCAGCUAACGCAUUAAGCACUCCGCCUGGGGAGUACGGCCGCAAGGCUG
rnacentral:rRNA from 1 species